rnacentral:tRNA from 2 species
GCCCAGAUGGCGGAACUGGUAGACGCGCUAGACUCAAAAUCUUGUUAUCGAAAGGUAGUGCAGGUUCGAUUCCUGUUCUGGGCACGA